rnacentral:rRNA from 1 species
UACGGGGGGGGCAAGCGUUGUUCGGAAUUACUGGGCGUAAAGGGCUCGUAGGCGGCCAACUAAGUCAGACGUGAAAUCCCUCGGCUUAACCGGGGAACUGCGUCUGAUACUGGGUGGCUUGAGAUUGGGAGAGGGAUGCGGAAUUCCAGGUGUAGCGGUGAAAUGCGUAGAUAUCUGGAGGAACACCGGUGGCGAAGGCGGCAUCCUGGACCAACACUGACGCUGAGGAGCGAAAGCCAGGGGAGCAAACGGG